AGGCCAUGGUGUGGAUAAGCUCUUAGUAGUACUUUAUAUCUUUCCCAAGCUUCAAAAAGUGUCUCACCCUAAUUUUGAGUGAAUUAGGUUAUUUGGUUUCGAAGGAC